rnacentral:rRNA from 1 species
GACAGAGGCCUCGAGCGUUAGGCGGAAUCACUGGGCUUAAAGCGUGUGUAGGCGGACUUGUAAGUACCUUGUGAAAUCCCACGGCUCAACCGUGGAACUGCUUGGUAUACUGCUUGUCUUGAGCCACUUAGGGGCUACCGGAACAAAUGGUGGAGCGGUGAAAUGCGUAGAUAUCAUUUGGAACGCCAAUGGUGAAAACAGGUAGCUGGGAGUGUGCCGACGCUGAGACACGAAAGCCAGGGGAGCGAACGGG